AUAUAUAGUAAAUUAUGGAAACUUAAAGUAGGAAAAAAGUUUAAAUAGUUAAUUAAUUUCAUUUUAUUUUGUCAAAAAAAUACAGGAUUGGAGAAAAGAGUUUAAUGAUACAGAUUUAUCAAGCCAUUGUACCCAUAGGUACAAAAUAUACGUUGAAGGAAACGCAUGGUGUGAAUGUGUAUAGCUGACGCUUGACAGUUUGUUUUCGGUAAUUUACGAAUUUGGUAGUAUUUAAAAAGCAAACAUCUGCGUUUCGCUUUUAUUGUUUUCAUUAUAUUGAGCCGCCAAUAAUGGAUGUUAAACCGUCAUUUAUGGAAUAGUUUAAAUAUUUAAUGACC